UCCCCAGCGGCGCAAUUGGUUAGCGCACGGUACUUGUAAUGCCGGUGUCGUGAGUUCGAGCCUCACUUCGUGAA